UGCCAGCCGCCGCGGUAAUACGUAGGGUGCAAGCGUUAAUCGGAAUUACUGGGCGUAAAGCGUGUGUAGGCGGUUCGGAAAGAAAGAUGUGAAAUCCCAGGGCUCAACCUUGGAACUGCAUUUUUAACUGCCGAGCUAGAGUAUGUCAGAGGGGGGUAGAAUUCCACGUGUAGCAGUGAAAUGCGUAGAUAUUCGGAGGAACACCAGUUGCGAAGGCAGUUCACUGGACCGUGAUCGACGCUGAGGAGCGAAAGCUAGGGGAGCAAACAGGAUUAGAUA
rnacentral:rRNA from 1 species